CGAACACGCACCACAUGUGUUCCCAAAGCGUGUAAAAGAGGAAACGGGAUCCCAGGAGAUUCCGGUACUGCGAGGCCGACUAGAGACGAAGGCAAGACAGGAGGUUCGCAACGAUGAUCUUCUGGGACGAAUCGACGUCACUGGAUCAAGAAUGAAAGAGAGGAGAAGAAGCGAUAGAGAGUAGGUUGUUCGAGCAGAGAGGGUGAAACACGGGCAAAAGAAGCGAAGAAGUGUGCAGAAAGAACGAAGAAAGAGAGAGAAAGAAUAAGAGGCUAUUCGAAACAACACAACGAAUGCGCACGGUCGCGCAC
rnacentral:misc_RNA from 1 species